UGUGCGCGCCCGCGCCCAGGGCCGCCGCUGCCCGUCUCGCGUUCGCAAGGCCUGAACGAGCCGCGCCUGGCAGCGCGUAGGGGGAAAGGUGUGGAUGUCUACUUGCGCGCUUCUCUUUUUCAGAAAUGGCGUGGAGGAGAUUCCUCACAAACGAGUCAGGAGGAAAUGACACUAUGGAGUGGUUUAAAUGUUUAUCCAGAGUGAAUAAUACUGCCCUGGAUUUCUAUGGUCAGAAACAAUCAGCAGCAGUAAAGGAUAUCUUUAAGUGGUAUGGGAAAGAGCCUUGUACAGAAAUUUUCCCUGCAUUGAAUGGCAGUGUUUUAAAGCCAGGCAAAGAGGACAGUUCCUUGCCUUCUGCUAUCAGUAAGAAUUCAACUAUACAAUAAAGGGUAAAAAUUAGUAAGUAUUCAUGUGACCCAAUCCUAUGAAGUCCUAAAAGCAGAUUUAGCCACAUAUUUGCCUGGGGGCAUUUUGACCUAUCUGUGACUUUAUAAAGUAGAAUUUAUUUUGAAGCACAUUUUGGAGCAAUAUCAAGGCUGCACUAAAACCACAGCUCCUGCAGAGUCAAAACUAAUAAUUAAUGUGAGGUGGUGAAAAGGGGAGGUGUCCACUUUAGGGCCUGAAAAAUGACUUUUUAGUGGUGAAUUUGGAAGCUAUGCAGACAGAAACUGGUGAGCAGAGACUACAGCAAGGGGUCACAAGUGGAGAGCUUUCCUGUGUCCAGAAUUGUAAGACCCCUGAACUCUCAGUGUGGUCACUUCCCACAAACACAGGAAGCAAGUCAGAGAGAAGAUAGCACUGGAGCAGGGUCCCAGUCUGUGGGGCUCGGGAGCACCCAGACUCUACCAGCAGCUCAUGUGAUC
rnacentral:lncRNA from 1 species